CCUACGGGGGGCUGCAGUGGGGAAUAUUGGACAAUGGGCGAAAGCCUGAUCCAGCAAUGCCGCGUGAGUGAUGAAGGCCUUAGGGUUGUAAAGCUCUUUCGCACGCGAGGCGGUAGCGUGAGAAGAAGCCCCGGCUAACUUCGUGCCAGCAGCCGCGGUAAUACGAAGGGGGCUAGCGUUGUUCGGAAUUACUGGGCGUGAAGGGCGCGUAGGCGGCGACGAUAGUCAGAAGUGAAAGCCCCGGGCUCAACCUGGGAAUUGCUUUUGAUACUGUGUUGCUUGAAUUCGGGAGAGGUGAGUGGAAUUCCCAGUGUAGAGGUGAAAUUCGUAGAUAUUGGGAAGAACACCGGUGGCGAAGGCGGCUCACUGGACCGAAUGACGCUGAGGCGCGAAAGCGUGGGGAGCAAACAGGAUUAGAUACCCUAGUAGUC
rnacentral:rRNA from 1 species